rnacentral:rRNA from 1 species
UUUAGAGUCAGGCCUGCUCAAUGAUUAAUUUAAAUAGCUGCAGUAUUUUGACUGUACAAAGGUAGCAUAAUCAUUAGUUUUUUAAUUGAAAGCUGGAAUGAAUGGUUUUAUAAGAAAAAUACUGUCUUUAUAUUAAAUUUAGAAAUUUAUUUUUAAGUGAGAAAGCUUAAAUAUAAUAAAAAGACGAGAAGACCCUAUAGAAUUUUAUAUAAUAUUUUAAUUAUUAUAAAAGUUUUAUUUUAGUUUUUAUUUAAAUUAUAUUUUAUUGGGGUGAUAGAAAAAUUUAAUAAACUUUUUUUUAUUUAUACAUUAAUUAAUGAUUAUAUGAUCCUAAAUUUUAGAUUAGAAGAAAAAAUUACCUUAGGGAUAACAGCGUUAUUUUUUUUUAAAGUUCAUAUUAAAAAAAAAGAUUGCGACCUCGAUGUUGGAUUAAAAUUUAGUUUAGGUGAAGAAGCUUAAAUAUUAAGUCUGUUCGACUUUUAAAAUUUUACA